CCCCCCUCUUGAGACAGGAUCUCACUAUAUAACCCUCGCUGGCCUGGAACUCAGUAUGUAGACCAGGCUUCCCAUUCACAGCCAUUCACCUGCCUCUGCCUCCUGGGUGCUGGGAUUGAGGACAUCAACCACCGAACCUGAUUUUUUUUUUUCACCAUCUCAUCAAACUAAGCUCUAAAGCUAGUUGGGUGGUUUCCUUUUGGUUAUGGUUUUUGAGGCAGGGUUUCUCUGUGUAGCAAGAUCCUUCCAACCUAACAGAAGUUCAACGUUUUCAUCUUGUUUUUAAUUGCUGAAGGAAGCCAAAUUCUUCCAGUCUGAAGCUCACGGUAGAUAAAAUGUUGGUUGGGUGUAGAAAAUAGGUCAGCAAAACUACAUUUUGAAUUUUUUCUUAAAUCUCUUUAGGAAUGCUCCCGGAUCCCAAGAAUACUCACAUCUUCAUCAGCUGGAUGAUUGCACAGUCUGUCACUGCUGUUGCUGGCCUAACUUCUUAUCCUUUUGACACGGUUCGCCGUCGUAUGAUGAUGCAGUCUGGACGCAAAGGAACUGAUAUCAUGUAUACAGGCACGCUUGACUGCUGGCGGAAGAUCGCUCGAGACGAAGGAGGCAAGGCCUUUUUCAAGGGUGCAUGGUCCAACGUUCUCAGAGGCAUGGGUGGUGCCUUUGUGCUUGUCUUGUAUGAUGAAAUCAAGAAGUACACAUAAUUAUGUCCUAGGUGUUCUCCCCGAGAACAGGCAUGUUGUAUAAUAGACCAUAUUCUUGAACAUUCUGGACAGAUUCUCUGGGCUUGUCUGUUUUAUCAAUGGCAACUAUUUACCAGUUGAAAAGUGGGAAGCAAUAAUAUUCAUCUGACCAGUUUUCUCUUAAAGCCAUUUCCAUAAUGACAAUAAUGAUGGGACUCAAUUAUAUUUUUUAUUUCAGUCACUCCUGAUAAUAAAAAAUUGAAGAAAUAAAAAUAUCCAAAACC
rnacentral:lncRNA from 1 species